GUGGAUGCCCUUCAUGGGCUUAACUAUUCCAAACCUCCGUGAACCGUGUCCUUCGGGACAAUUUUACAAACAUUGAGUAAUGAACGUAGUAUACUUUAACAAAACA
rnacentral:misc_RNA from 1 species